rnacentral:rRNA from 1 species
GAUGAACGCUGGCGGCGUGCCUAAUACAUGCAAGUAGAACGCUGAAGGAGGAGCUUGCUCUUCUGGAUGAGUUGCGAACGGGUGAGUAACGCGUAGGUAACCUGCCUGGUAGCGGGGGAUAACUAUUGGAAACGAUAGCUAAUACCGCAUGACAACAGUUAUUGCAUGAUAACUGUUUAAAAGGGGCAACUGCUCCACUACCAGAUGGACCUGCGUUGUAUUAGCUAGUUGGUGAGGUAACGGCUCACCAAGGCGACGAUACAUAGCCGACCUGAGAGGGUGAGCGGCCACACUGGGACUGAGACACGGCCCAGACUACUACGGGAGGCAGCAGUAGGGAAUCUUCGGCAAUGGACGGAAGUCUGACCGAGCAACGCCGCGUGAGUGAAGAAGGUUUUCGGAUCGUAAAGCUCUGUUGUAAGAGAAGAACGAGUGUGAGAGUGGAAAGUUCACACUGUGACGGUAUCUUACCAGAAAGGGACGGCUAACUACGUG